GCCGCCGUAGUGCAGUCGGUUAGAGCGUGGGUCUAAUAAGCCCAAGGUCAUGGGCUCGAACCUUGCUGGCGGCG